AGAUUAAGUUAUUAAGGGCGCACGGUGGAUGCCUUGGCACUAGAAGCCGAUGAAGGACGUUACUAACGACGAUAUGCUGUGGGGAGCUGUAAGUAAGCUGUGAUCCAGAGAUUUCCGAAUGGGGGAACCCAGCACGAGUUAUGUCGUGUUAUCCGCAUGUGAAUACAUAGCAUGUGAGAAGGUAGACCCGGAGAACUGAAACAUCU
rnacentral:rRNA from 1 species